GACGGCAAGCAAAUCUCUUAAAGCCAAUCUCAGUUCGGAUUGUAGGCUGCAACUCGCCUACAUGAAGUCGGAAUCGCUAGUAAUCGCGGAUCAGCACGCCGCGGUGAAUACGUUCCCGGGCCUUGUACACACCGCCCGUCACACCACGAGAGUUUGUAACACCCGAAGUCGGUGAGGUAACCUUUAAGGAGCCAGCCGCCUAAGGUGGGAUAGAUGAUUGGGGUGAAGUCGUAACAAGGUAGCCGUAUCGGAAGGUGCGGCUGGAUCACCUCCUUUCU
rnacentral:rRNA from 1 species